rnacentral:lncRNA from 1 species
CUCCUCUCUUAGACAUCUGCAGAUUUGCUUGUCAGUGUUUUUAGUUCUUGUCAUCCCUGUUAUCCUACAGAACUGUGGUAAAAUGCCACAAGGUUGCAUUUUUUCUUGAGCCAGUAACACCAAGCCCCCAGGCGUCUGCACAGGGACUGGUCCAUAAAGAGGCCUUACAUACAGUGCUGCCUGCGGGGCUCACAGCCCCUGAGAGGGAGGCAGAGGGCUCCCAUCUCCACCUCUCAUUGACUGGACAUGGCCGGAAGCAAGCCGGUCACACUGCACAGAUUCCUCUGCUGGGAAGGAGGCUCCCUCAGCUGUGUCUGACUCUAAGUAGCAGCCGGGGCCCUUGGUCAUACAGCUGCAAGAAAAUGAAUCUGCCAACAACCUGAACGCGCUCGGACAUGAAUUCUCCCCGCCAUCUCUUCAGAUGAGAAGACAGCCUGCCUGCCACUAAACCGUAGUCUUAUGAGGCCCUGAGUAUUGGUCCCAGUGAAGCUACCCCUGAAUUCCUCAACCAUGAAAACUGAAGUAAUCAAUGUGUUGUUUUAAGUCACUAAAUUUGUGGUCCUUUGUGACACUGCAAUAGAAAAUAAAUAAAGUGGGAAGGAAGGCUCUCUACUUCUCUCUUUCCAAACUGCAGAGCUUCAGUUUUAAAGGUGGGAUAAUAAAUAAGUCAC